rnacentral:rRNA from 1 species
CAGCCGCCGCGGUAAUACGAGGGGGGCAAGCGUUGUUCGGAAUUAUUGGGCGUAAAGGGCGCGUAGGCGGUUUGGCAAGUUUGGUGUGAAAUCUUCGGGCUCAACUCGAAGUCUGCAUCGAAAACUGCCGGGCUUGAGUAUGGGAGAGGUGAGUGGAAUUUCCGGUGCAGCGGUGAAAUGCGUAGAUAUCGGAAGGAACACCUGUGGCGAAAGCGGCUCACUGGACCAUUACUGACGCUGAGGCGCGAAAGCUAGGGGAGCAAACAGGAUUAGAUACCCGCGUAGUCCCUGUCUCUUAUAA